UCUUGUGGUUAGGUUUUACAGGAGUAUCCUUCAUAUCAUCUCCAAGUGAAAAGCACUGGUUGUAGAGAGAGAUUUCACAAGGAGGAGAAAGCCCCUUAUUUGUUUUCCUGCUUUCACAGGGAAGUGACAGAUCUGAUUUGUUUCAUGCUGUUACAGAAUGAAGCUAAAGCUGCAUGAAGAAUAGGAUGCUGUUCUUCUGAAUACAAAGCUCCAUGGGUAAAGACUAGACUCUUGGAAGACAGAAGUUUGAACCUCUGCAUGGUGAGGGACCAGAACUGGACACAGUACUCCAAGGGCACAGCUGUGCUCUUCCACCCUGCGCAGUCCUCCGUUAAAGGCUGGAGAGAUUCCCAGGAGAAGCAAGCUUUGGAGUUAACCACAGAGCUAAAUGUUGCCUCAGGCUCACCAUCACUACAAUAGCUGUAUUCAAGUCCAACUUCCUGAGAUGUUUUAUUCCAAUCAAAAAGAAAAGGAACUUACAUUAUAAUAAAAAGUUCAGCUCGUAUAAUUAUUCUAGACCAAGGAGUGUAAUAAGAGCAGCAGCACCUGGUGCCCGGGUGCAGAGUGGGGAAGGAGAAGACAAGGGAGAUGACAAGGCCAAUGAGAACAGAAUCAGCUCACUUGCAUGGGCAACAUUUUUGUUUUAGAAGCAGACAGUGCACAGAUAGAGGAGAGACCCUUAUCUGCUCUUCUUCAAGCAGAAAGAUGCAAUACUUUGGUUCCUGCUGCCUCCUCCCAUCAAAGCUAAAACCACAUUAUGAAAUUAUUUGGGGCACAGCUUAUGGAUUUCAUAACUCUGAACAGUUAGUUAUAACCUACAAAACAUGCCAGGUCUAUCUUUCACCUGCUUCUGUGUAAUUCCGUCAGCUUUGAAGAUUCAGGUACUUGGUGGAGCUUCAAACAAAAACAACCCGGCACUGGGUCCAUUCUGCUUUUCCUCAUAUUGAGGUGGAACUUCCUGUGUUCCAACUUGUGCUCAUUUCCCCUUGUCCUGUCGUUGGGCACCACCGAAAAGAGUCUGGCCCCAUCCUCUUGACACCCACCCUUCAGAUAUUUUUAAGCUUUGAUAAGAUCCCCCCUCAGUCUUCUCUUCUCCAGGCUAAACAAACCCAAGUCUCUCAGCCUUUCCUCAUAAGGGAGAUGCUCCAGUCCCCUGAUUGUCUUCAUAACUCUCCACUGGACUCUCUCCAGUAGUUCCCUGUCCUUAAACUGGGGGGUCCAAAACUGGACACAGUACUCCAAAUGUGGUCUCAGUAGGGCAGAGUAGAGGGGGAGGAUAACCUCCCUCGACCUGCCGGCCACACUCCUUUUAAUGCAUCCCAGGAUACCGUUGGCCUUCUUGUCCACAAGGGCACACUGCUGCCUCAUGGUCAACUUGAAAUGGUUGGAAAUGAUACUGGUUUUAGGAGCUUAACAUAUUUAUCCUCCCUAAUAUAAGACAUGUGAUCAUUCUGUUUUUUCCCAUAUCGUGUUUCCCACUUCUGAGGGAACACUUGUUUAAAGCAAUUUUUUAAUGAAAGUGCAGGUGAAGAGUAGCAACUCCAUUCACUGGCACAUCUCGUUUCUUUUCAAUAGUGUAUUUACAACGUAUUUUAAAUGACUGUAAGAAUUUAUGGAAGCGUGUUUUGCCCUCUAGUGGAAGGUGAAGCAAAAUACAACGUAUAGUUAGAAACGCAACAUACAUAUAGAUUGACCGUGCGGACACUGACCAUGUGUUUACUGGAUGGCUGGAGAGACAGCGAACAAGUCACGGUGCAUAUUAUUUCUUAUCCCAAGGGAUGAGGAGUGGAGAGGGGGAACUCCAGGGAAUUUACAAAGAUGACCGUCCAGGUUUAGUAGAGAAUGGAAGGAAAUUCCCAUGAUGUCAUAAUGUUGUCUAUGGAAGAGGUCUAACAGUUUGAAAUUUCAACACCAGAUACUGUGUCUACUGUACUGAGUUUUCUGUUACUUCGAUUAUUUAUGACAAUAAAUUAAAUAUUUUAAAAAAAAAAACAUGAACAGCUCAGACUGUAGCUGGGGAGCACAAAAGCCAAGGUUACUGCAAGAUAUAACAGGCAAAUAUUGUCAGAGGUUUUAUUGACAUAUAUUGACUCAAAUGUUAAAUACUGCCCAUGUGAUUAAGACCAAAAUUAAUCUUCCUUUGGUUAUCAAAGAAUGUUAAUACUAUAAACCAAAACAGAAACAUUGAAAAAAUAUUUUAAGUUGUGAAUAUUUAGUUCUUGUGUAAAUAAACAUCUAUUUGUAUU